rnacentral:rRNA from 1 species
UACGUAGGGUGCAAGCGUUAAUCGGAAUUACUGGGCGUAGAGCGUGCGCAGGCGGUGAUGUAAGACAGAUGUGAAAUCCCCGGGCUCAACCUGGGAACUGCAUUUGUGACUGCAUCGCUGGAGUGCGGCAGAGGGGGAUGGAAUUCCGCGUGUAGCAGCGAAAUGCGUAGAUAUGCGGAGGAACACCGAUGGCGAAGGCAAUCCCCUGGGCCUGCACUGACGCCCAUGCACGAAAGCGUGGGGAGCAAACAGG